rnacentral:rRNA from 1 species
UCCUGAAGGAACGUUAAAGACGAUGACGUUGAUAGGCCGGGUGUGUAAGCGCAGCGAUGCGUUGAGCUAACCGGUACUAAUGAACCGUGAGGCUUAACCUUACAACGCCGAAGGUGUUU